rnacentral:rRNA from 1 species
UACGUAGGGUGCAAGCGUUAAUCGGAAUUACUGGGCGUAAAGCGUGCGCAGGCGGUUGUGCAAGACCGAUGUGAAACUCCCCGGGCUUAACCUGGGAAUGGCAUUGGUGACUGUACGGCUAGAGUGUGUCAGAGGGGGGUAGAAUUCCACGUGUAGCAGUGAAAUGCGUAGAGAUGUGGAGGAAUACCGAUGGCGAAGGCAGCCCCCUGGGAUAACACUGACGCUCAGGCACGAAAGCGUGGGGAGCAAACAGGG